GGAGAGUUGACAGAGUGGUAAUGUGCAGGCUUGCUAAGCCAUGUCAUCGUUAAGUCGGUACAGAGGUUCGAGCCCUCUACUCUCCG
rnacentral:tRNA from 1 species